AAACAGGACAAUUUGCUGAGGCCUGGGAGCACCCCACUCCAGAGAAUCCCUGAUGUCCCAAAAUUUGGUUGAGAUCUAAAGUUUAUUUUGCUGUACACCUCUUUGUCUGCAGUUUUACUUACUCCCAACAAAGAAGGUGCGUUUUCCUGCCUCCAUGACGAUGGAGGGGAGGCAACUCCUUUCUGGAAUUUCAUCUGGCUUCCAGCAGGGAAGACAAGGUGUCACUCUUGUCACCCAGGCUGGAGUGCAGUGGCCAUGAUCAUGGCUCACUGCAGCCUCCAGCUCCCAGGCUCAAGUGAUCCUCCCACCUCCACCUCCCAAGUAGCUGGGACUACAGGUAUGUGUCACCAUGCCUGGCUAAAUUUUUUUGUAUUUUUUGUAGAGAUGAGGGCUUGCGAUGUUGCCCAGGCUGGUCUCCGACUCCUGGGCUCAAGUGAUCCCCCUCCCUCAGCCUCCCGAAGUGCUGGGAUUACAGAUGUGAGCCACCUCGCCGGCCCCCUGCUUCUACUCUUGACUCUAGAGAUUGUUAUUUCUCAGUUCUACACUUGCCCUUUUAUACUCUACUGCAGGGACCUAGAGUGUGUGAACCCCAUUUCCCAGGCUCUCGUGCCCGCUGGCUUCUGCCAGUAGGGGGCACUAUAAGGAAAUCAGAAGGCAGGAGGUGGAGAGUAACUUACUGCUUCUGGAUUCAAUCGUGUGGCAGUUGCUGGCCAUUUCUAUAGUGAAAGUGGAGGAGGGAUUAUUCUUUACUCUAGGAAUUCCUUCCAUGGUCAAGGUGGCACCUCUCUAGUAGACAGAGGAUGAAAGUGAUAGUGUCUCCAAAUGGCACAGAAGCUGGUGCAGUUCCAUUGGUUCCAGCUAAGGGUAUUUUUAGCAGCUUUUUUAUCUAUGAUGUCACUCCAUUAUUCUUUUUGACAUCUAUUACUCUUAAAAUUCCCUCUGCAUGAAAUAACUAGAUAGUUUAUCUUUCGUGACUGGACUCUGAUAACACUUUGUUGUAGCCUGUUCUCCACCUAGCCAUUGGUGUCCGAAGGUACCCUGAUCAUGUUAAUUCACUGCUUAAAACUUUCCAAUAGCCUCCCCUCACGUUUAGAAUAAAAUUCAAAAUGUGAAUUUUUCUACACAUAUUCUACAAGCCCUAAAUGCCCUGGCCCGUGACUACAUCUUCAACCUCUUUUUGUAGGAUUCUCCCACUUAGUGAGUUUCAGCCAGAGUGCCUUCCUUGCUGUACACUACUGAGCAUUCUAAACACAUUCCCAGCCCGGGGCUUUUGCAUUCAUUCUGUUUCCUUUGCCUGUAGUGUCCAGCUAUCAUUCUCACUUAAUUCAAUUGCUGCUUCAAUAUUACCUCCCUAAAGAAGACUUCCCUGACCACCAUGUCUAAAAUAUCAGUCUCUGCUACUUUCUGUCCCUGACCCUGUUUUAUUUUUCUUAAUAUAAAUGUAUCUAUUUGUUUGUUGUUUUUAAUGUGUCUUCCUCACUGGAAUAUCUUGUAAAAUCAGGGUCUUUGUUGUUCAUGUUCACUGUAAUGUUAGUACCUUGAAUAGAAUCUGGCCCACAGUAGGUGCUCAGUAAGUAUUUAUUGAAUGAAUGAAUGAAUGAAUGGUACACUCUCACAUACUCUAGUCUUAGUGUCUUGGCACUGUCUACUUUUGUGGCUUUCUCAACAGCCUGUAAUUUGAAGCUUAAGGAGAUUCAUGAUGAAGCAAGGAAAUUGGCAAGACCAUCAAACUCUUCUUCACUUCUACUUCUCGCUUGCCUGCUUUGGACAAAAACAAAAAAAUCCAGCCCAUGUGGAAAUACCAUAGUUAAAGUUGGGAGACAGUAGGUGAAAAGGCAAGCAGGCUUAUAUAACAAAAGCAGUAGCUCCAACAUAUACAAAGUGUUUAAUUCAAUUAUGUAAGUAACUGAGGAGUGCUUGUGCAUAGGAAGCCAAUCAACUAAUAUCAGUAUCUAGAACCGUGUGGCAACAAUAUUUAAAUCAGCUCAAAGGCCGCCAGAGAGUGUACCCAAUAAUCUUUAUCUGAUCUGAAAGGGUAACCAGUUCUAAAUGCUGGCUAAUAAAUAUUGUGUAAGGAACUAGGUAAAUUGAGAUAUGAAUCAUGCUUCCAUUUAAAAAAAAUGUAAAUAAUGAACAGAAUUCCAGUGUGGAAUUAGAACAGGAAUCGGUUUCACCUAGGGCAAAUUAAUUGCUAAGUAGCGAAGAGCUGCUGCUUUUGCUGAGCAUAAGAUGUGAGGAUUUCUUUCUUUCUUUCUUUUUUGAGGCAGAGUCUCGCUCUGUCGCCCAGGCUGGAGUGCAGUGGUGCAAUCUUAGCUCACUGCAACCUCCACCUCCCAGGUUCAAGCAAUUCUCCUGUGUCAGCCUCCUGAAUAGGUGGAUUUCAGGCAUGUGCCACCAUGCCCAGCUAAUUUUUGUAUUUCUAGUAGAGACAGGGUUUCACCAUGUUGGUCAGGCUGGUCUCAAACUCCUGACCUCAUGAUCCGCUGCCUCAGCCUCCCAAAGUGCUGGGAUUACAGGCGUGAGCCACCGUGCCGGGCUGAGGAUUUCUUACAAACGAUGUACUCUGAUUCUAAUGGCAUAAUCACCAAGAAUUUACUACCAACUCUUGAACAUUUUCUUUAUUAGUUAGAGAAAUCAACUGAUGGCAUUUUGUUGGGCAUAUUUAAAAAUCACAUCCAAGUGCUUUAAUAGAACAAGGUGAUAUAUUUAUGGAACCAAAGAGAGGACUGGGAAUUCUUUUACUACACUCCCAAGCUGAAACAUUCUCCCUUCAGCUUUUGAAUAUGAUAUACUCAUUGAUUUAAGUAGCUAUGGGUAAUGAAAUCACCACAGCAGGUUAUAGGGGUAAGGGGUGAGUCCUCACAAGCUUCUCCUUUCAGGAAUGCAGUAGACUGUAGUGAUUUUACUAUGCCUGCCCACUAUACUUUUCCAUCCUCCUUUUUCAGCUUAAAAAAAACCAAGUUUUUCUUUUUGUUUUUAUUGGGGGUAAUCAACUCCAUGACCCUUCUCCACCACAACCUUUAGAUCUUUGAUCUGCUCAGUUAUCAGCAGGGAGAGUUUUCUUAAAGGCAAGGAUGAAACAGACACUUUUAAUUAUUUAAACCUCAGGGGGACUAAGGUAGUGAGUGUGUACCCAGGAGUUCUUUCUGCCUUCUGGCCCAAAUUUCAUUACAUUUUCAUUGGAUACUACAUAAAUACAAAACAGUGCCUACAGUAAAUUAUUACAGAGUUUACCUACCUGUAUCUAUGACCCAGAACAUUACCAGCAUUCCUUUUAGGCCCCUACCCAAUCACCACUAUAGAAUUUCUGGGUGAAAGUAAAUACAUGUUUUAACUUUAGAAGCCAAAUAAUUUUUCAGUGUUUUUAUACCAAUUUAUAUUCCCUACCACACAGUCUAGCAGCUGCUUUCUAAAACUUGAUUUAAAAAAAUAAUUACCCAUUCUGGUGGAUGCGUAGUGAUCUCUCUCUCUCUCUCUCUUUUUUUUUUUUCUUUUUUGAGACUCUGUCUCAAAAAAAAAAAAAAAGGAAUGCAGCGGUAUGAUCUCAGCUCACAGCAACCUCUGCUUCCUGGGCUCAAGUCAUCCUCUCACUUUAGCCUCUCUAGUUGCUUGCGUUACAGGUGUGUGCCCCCGUGCCUGGCUAAUUUUUAUAUUUUUAGUAGAGACAGGGUUUUGCCAUGUUGCCCAGGCUGGUCUUGAACUCUUGAGCUCAAGACAUCCACCUGCCUUGGCCUCCCAAAGUGCUGGGGUUACAGGUGUGGGCCACUGCACCCAGCUUGUAGUGAUAUCUCCUUGUGAUGUUAACUUCCAUUUCCCUAGUGACUAAUCAUGGUGGGUUCCUUUUCAUGUGUAUUGACUAUUUGCACAUAUUUCCAUAGCUGGGAAUAGCAGAUUUUAUGAAAGGUGUUUAAGACAACAGACGUGAAUUGAAGCCUCAGACUGCCUUGGACACCUUUCCUAACUUUCAAAACACUCUUCUUCAGCAAAUGCCAAUAUAAAUGUUUGUGUCCACAGAUCAAUAAUAGAAAAGAACAAACACAGGACCAUAGACACUACACACACGCACACAUGCAUAUAACUCUAAGGAAAAGGAGAUAAAGAUCUUUACAAAAGAUGAAGCAUUCUGAUGUGUAAUUCUCACAAUCUCUUAAGACACUGACACAUGAUCUUUGGGGGCGGGGGCGGAGGAGUUAGCCCAAAGGAAGGCUGUGAGGGAUUAAAGAAUAGAUUAUAAGAAAACAGGAGAGGGCAAACUCGAAUUGAAACUCAGGAAAGAAAGAGAAGAGAAAAGCACACCUUAAUAGAGAUGAAAGUUGCAUGAGAACAAAAGGUAAGAGAUACAAAAAGAGAAGUUUGACAAAAUUACAUAAAAUGAAAAGGAGACAAAUGAUUCCAUUUACAUGAUAGAAUAGUCAAAUUCAUAGAAACAGAAAGUAGAACAGUGGUUACUAAGGGCUGGGGCAGGGGGCAAGGGAAGCGGUUAUGGUAACAGAGCUACUGCUUGAUGGGGACAGAGUUUCAAUUUGGAAUGAUGAAAAAGUUCUGGAGGUAAAUAGUGGCGAUGAUUGCACAACAUUGUGAAUGUACUUAAUGCCACUGAAUUGUUCACUUAAAAUGAUUAAAAUGGUAAAAUAUACAUAAAAGAUACAAAAAAUACAUAAAACAUGUGGAUGUAAGUUUUCAACUCAUUUGGGUAAAUAGCUUAUUUGGGUAUGUGCUUAUUGGAGACCUAUGCUUAGCUUUGUAAGAAACUGCAAAACUCUUCCAAAGUGGCUGUACCAUUCAUCAUGCAUUCGUACCAAUAUAUAAGAGUUCCUGCUGUGCCACAUCCUUGCCAGCAUUUGGUGGUGUAAGUGCUUUGGAUUUUAGCCAUUCUCAUAGGUGUGUAGUGGUAUCUCAUUGUUUUAUUGCCAAUUCCCUGAUGACACAUAAUGUUGAGUAUCUUUACACAUCUUUAUUUGCCAUCUGUAUAGAUUCUUCGGUGAGGUGUCUGUUUAAACCAUUUUUAAUUGGGUUGCUUUUUAUUGUUGAGUUUAAAUAGUUAUUUGUAUAUUUUAGAUAAAUAGUCUUUUAUAUAAGCUAUGUUUUUACAAAGAUUUUCUCAUAAUCCUUGGCUUGUCUUUUCAUUCUAUUAACAGUGUUUUUUUACAGAGCAAGUUUUAAAUUUUAAUGAAGUCCAUUUUAUGAAUUUUUUCUUUCAUGAAUUGUGCUUUUGGUUUUGUAUCUAAAAAGUCAUUGCCAAACCCAAGGCCACCUAGAUGUUCUCCUGUGUUAUCCUAGGAGUUUUAUAGUGAUGCAUGUCAGGAAGAAAAGAAAGAUACAAGAUUUUUCUCUAGGUUUUGGUUUUGUUUUAUUUUUUGGCAUGUGGAUAUCUAGUUGUUUCAGUACCAUUUGUCAAACAAGCUGUCCUUUCUCCAUUGAAUUGCUUUUGUUUCUUUGUCAAACCUUAGUUGACUGUAUUAGUGUGAAUCCAUUUUCAGUUUUGUAUUCUGUUCUAUUUAUUUGUCUAUUCAGUCAUCAAUGCCACAUUAUUGUGUUUACCUUUAUGGUAAAUCCUGUAGUUGGUAGUGUCAGUCUACCAACUUUGUUCUUCAACAUUGUGUUGGCUAUUCUGGGUUUUUGCUUUUCCAUGUCAUCUUUAGAAUCAAGUUGGUCAAUAUCCACAAAAUAAACUGCUAGAUUUUGAUUGAGAGUGUUGAAUCCAUGUAUCAAGUUGAGAAGAACUGGCAUCUUUUCAACUUCAACUCUUCAUUUUCAUGAACAUGGACUGUCUCUUUAUUUAUUUACAUCUCCUUUGGUUUCUUACAUCAGAAUUUUGUAGUUUUCCUCAUAUAGAUCUUGUAUAUAUUUAGAUUUAUAUCUAAGUAUUUCCGCCCCUUUUUGGUGCUAAUGUAAGUGGUGUUUUUAAUUUUAAUUUCAAAUCCAAAGUGUUCAUUGCUAUUGUAUAGUAAAAUAAUUGACUUUGUAUAAUAACUUUCAUCCUGAUACCAUGCUAUAAUCACUUAUUAGUUCCAGAAAUCUUUUUUGUUGAUUAUUUGGGAUGUUCUACCUUGAUAACCAUGUUAUCUGUGAACAAAGGCAGCUUAAUUUCUUUCUUCCUAAUAUGUAUACAUUUCCUUUAUUUGUCUUAUUACAUUAGCUAAAACUUCAGUUACGAUGUUGAAAAUGAGUGGUGAGAGGGGACAUCCUUGCUUUGUUCCUAAUAUUAGCAGGAAGGCAUGCAGCUUCUUUUGACUAAUAUGUUAUCUGUAGAAUUUUGUAGAUGUUUGUGAUCCAAGUGAG
rnacentral:lncRNA from 1 species